rnacentral:rRNA from 1 species
UAGGGAAUAUUCCACAAUGAGCGAAAGCUUGAUGGAGCGACACAGCGUGCACGAUGAAGGUCUUCGGAUUGUAAAGUGCUGUUAUAAGGGAAGAACAUUUGCAAUAGGAAAUGAUUGCAGACUGACGGUACCUUGUCAGAAAGCGAUGGCUAACUAUGUGCCAGCAGCCGCGGUAAUACAUAGGUCGCAAGCGUUAUCCGGAAUUAUUGGGCGUAAAGCGUUCGUAGGCUGUUUGUUAAGUCUGGAGUUAAAUCCCGGGGCUCAACCCCGGCUCGCUUUGGAUACUAGCAAACUAGAGUUAGAUAGAGGUAAGCGGAAUUCCAUGUGAAGCGGUGAAAUGCGUAGAGAUUAGGAGGAACACCGGUGGCGAAAGCGGCUUUUUGGCCUGCAACUGACACUGAGGCGCGAAAGCGUGGGGAGCAAACAGG